GAUGAACGCUGGCGGCGUGCCUAAUACAUGCAAGUCGAGCGAACAGACGAGGAUCUUGCUCCUCUGACGUUAGCGGCGGACGGGUGAGUAACACGUGGAUAACCUACCUAUAAGACUGGGAUAACUUCGGGAAACCGGAGCUAAUACCGGAUAAUAUAUUGAACCGCAUGGUUCAAUAGUGAAAGACGGUUUUGCUGUUACUUAUAGAUGGAUCCGCGCCGCAUUAGCUAGUUGGUAAGGUAACGGCUUACCAAGGCAACGAUGCGUAGCCGACCUGGGAGGGUGAUCGGCCACCCUGGAACUGAGACACGGUCCAGACUCCUACGGGGGGCAGCAGUAGGGAAUCUUCCGCAAGGGGCGAAAGCCUGACGGAGCAACGCCGCGUGAGUGAUGAAGGUCUUCGGAUCGUAAAACUCUGUUAUUAGGGAAGAACAAAUGUGUAAGUAACUAUGCACGUCUUGACGGUACCUAAUCAGAAAGCCACGGCUAACUACGUG
rnacentral:rRNA from 1 species